CUGCAGCUCAAGUGGUGACCGCUAUUAUUGGGCCUAAAACGUUCGUAGCCGGCUGAGUAAAUGCUUGGGUAAAUCGUGCCGCUUAACGGUACGAAUUCCGGGUAGACUACUCAGCUUGAGACCGGGAGAAGCUAGAGGUACUCCUGGGGUAGAGGUGAAAUUCUGUAAUCCUGGGGGGACCACCAGUGGCGAAGGCGUCUAGCUAGAACGGGUCUGACGGUGAGGGACGAAGGCUGGGGGAGCGAUCCGGAUUAGAUACCCGAGUGUCC
rnacentral:rRNA from 1 species